AUGGGCGCAAGCCUGAUGGAGCAACACCGCGUGAGUGAAGAAGGGUUUCGGCUCGUAAAGCUCUGUUGUUGGAGAAGAACGUGCGUGAGAGUAACUGUUCACGCAGUGACGGUAUCCAACCAGAAAGUCACGGCUAACUACGUGCCAGCAGCCGCGGUAAUACGUAGGUGGCAAGCGUUAUCCGGAUUUAUUGGGCGUAAAGCGAGCGCAGGCGGUUGCUUAGGUCUGAUGUGAAAGCCUUCGGCUUAACCGAAGAAGUGCAUCGGAAACCGGGCGACUUGAGUGCAGAAGAGGACAGUGGAACUCCAUGUGUAGCGGUGGAAUGCGUAGAUAUAUGGAAGAACACCAGUGGCGAAGGCGGCUGUCUGGUCUGCAACUGACGCUGAGGCUCGAAAGCAUGGGUAGCGAACAGGAUUAGAUACCCUGGUAGUCCAUGCCGUAAACGAUGAGUGCUAAGUGUUGGAAGGUUUCCGCCCUUCAGUGCCGGAGCUAACGCAUUAAGCACUCCGCCUGGGGAGUACGACCGCAAGGUUGAAACUCAAAGGAAUUGACGGGGGCCCGCACAAGCGGUGGAGCAUGUGGUUUAAUUCGAAGCUACGCGAAGAACCU
rnacentral:rRNA from 1 species